GAACACAAAUUGUACUUUCCCGUAUUCUGGGAAGUAUGCUUGGUUGAGGGUCAUUAAAAUAACAUUCGUAAAUUUUUUUGCGGAUUUGAGUUUUCCAGUAUUUAUAAAAAUGUUGGUAACUUUAAAAUUAUUAUUACUUGGUACAAGUUGAAGACGUUCUAUAUGUGUGGUUCGCUGACAACUUGUCCAUCAUCAUAUAUUAUGCGCGCACUUGGUUUUUUACGCUCUGUGCGAGUAUAUAUUUUUUUAUGACCUCAGCUCAAGUAAGAAUACCCGCUGAACUUAAG
rnacentral:misc_RNA from 1 species